rnacentral:rRNA from 1 species
CCUACGGGAGGCAGCAGUGAGGAAUAUUGGUCAAUGGGCGGGAGCCUGAACCAGCCAAGCCGCGUGAGGGAAGAAGGUACAGCGUAUCGUAAACCUCUUUUGUCAGGGAACAAAGGCGGGGACUAGUCCCCGGAUGAGGGUACCUGAAGAAAAAGCAUCGGCUAACUCCGUGCCAGCAGCCGCGGUAAUACGGAGGAUGCGGGCGUUAUCCGGAUUUAUUGGGUUUAAAGGGUGCGCAGGCGGCCUGUUAAGUCAGCGGUAAAAGCCCGGGGCUAAACCCCGGCGAGCCGUUGAAACUGGCGGGCUUGAGUUGGAGAGAAGUACGCGGAAUGCGCGGUGUAGCGGUGAAAUGCUUAGAUAUCGCGCAGAACCCCGAUUGCGAAGGCAGCGUACCGGCUCCACACUGACGCUGAGGCACGAAAGCGUGGGUAUCGAACAGGAUUAGAUACCCGAGUAGUC